UGCAUUCACACUGUAAGUCGCUCUGGAUAAGAGUGUCUGCUAAAUGUAAAAAA
rfam:Salmo salar isolate Sally breed double haploid chromosome ssa05, whole genome shotgun sequence.